rnacentral:rRNA from 1 species
CGAUAACGAACGAGACCUUAACCUGCUAAAUAGUUAGGCCAACGUUUGUUGGUCGUCAACUUCUUAGAGGGACUAUUGACUAUUAGUCAAUGGAAGUUUGAGGCAAUAACAGGUCUGUGAUGCCCUUAGAUGUUCUGGGCCGCACGCGCGCUACACUGAUCAAGUCAACGAGUUUACAACCUUGGCCGGAAGGUCUGGGUAAUCUUUUGAAACUUGAUCGUGCUGGGGAUAGUCCAUUGCAAUUAUUGGACUUCAACGAGGAAUUCCUAGUAAGCGUGAGUCAUCAGCUCGCGUUGACUACGUCCCUGCCCUUUGUACACACCGCCCGUCGCUACUACCGAUUGAACGGCU